rnacentral:rRNA from 1 species
UAGAGGAAGUAAAAGUCGUAACAAGGUUUCCGUAGGUGAACCUGCGGAAGGAUCAUUAUCGUAACAAAAUGUGAGGGGCAUGUGAGGGCUGUCGCUGACUCAAUGUCGUGCACGCCCGAGCGUGUCCUCUCACAUAAUAAUCCAUCUCACCCUUUGUGCAUCGCCGCGUGGGCACCCUUUGGGAUCAUCUCGGAGGGGGCUCGCGUUUUCACACAAACCCCCCCUUUUAAAAGUGUAGAAUGACCUCAUUUAUGCGCUAACCCGCAAUCAAUACAACUUUCAACAACGGAUCUCUUGGCUCUCGCAUCGAUGAAGAACGCAGCGAAAUGCGAUACGUAAUGUGAAUUGCAGAAUUCAGUGAAUCAUCGAAUCUUUGAACGCACCUUGCGCCCCUUGGUAUUCCGAGGGGCACACCCGUUUGAGUGUCGUGAAAACCUCAACCUCCUUGGUUUCUUCUGGAGACCAAAGCAGGCUUGGACUUUGGAGGCCUUUGCUGGCACCUCUCUCUUUUGAAGGUCAGCUCCUCUUAAAUGAAUUAGCAGGGUCCUCUUUGCUGAUCCUCGACGUGUGAUAAGAUGUUUCCAUGUCUUGGUUUCUGGCUCUGUCACUCUUGGGACCCGCUUCUAACCGUCUUGACCUUGCGUCGAGACAAUGUUCGAGCACGUCUCCCAUCUCGGGAAGCUCCCUCGACCCCACGAACCCUUGACCUCAAAUCGGGUGAGACUACCCGCUGAACUUAAGCAUAUCAAUAAGCGGAGGAAAAGAAACUAACAAGGAUUCCCCUAGUAACUGCGAGUGAAGCGGGAAAAGCUCAAAUUUAAAAUCUGGCGGUCUUUGGCCGUCCGAGUUGUAAUUUAGAGAAGCGUCUUCCGCGCUGGACCGUGUAC